ensembl:miRNA
UGGGCCAUGGGAUAGGGCAGAGUAGGGCUGGAUGGUAGGGCCCACUGCCUAUGCCCCACAG